rnacentral:rRNA from 1 species
UGGGGAAUUUUGGACAAUGGGCGAAAGCCUGAUCCAGCAAUGCCGCGUGUGUGAAGAAGGCCUUCGGGUUGUAAAGCACUUUUGUCCGGAAAGAAAUCCUUGGCUCUAAUACAGUCGGGGGAUGACGGUACCGGAAGAAUAAGCACCGGCUAACUACGUGCCAGCAGCCGCGGUAAUACGUAGGGUGCAAGCGUUAAUCGGAAUUACUGGGCGUAAAGCGUGCGCAGGCGGUUUGCUAAGACCGAUGUGAAAUCCCCGGGCUCAACCUGGGAACUGCAUUGGUGACUGGCAGGCUAGAGUAUGGCAGAGGGGGGUAGAACUUCCACGUGUAGCAGUGAAAUGCGUAGAGAUGUGGAGGAAUACCGAUGGCGAAGGCAGCCCCCUGGGCCAAUACUGACGCUCAUGCACGAAAGCGUGGGGAGCAAACAGGAUUAGAUACCCUGGUAGUCCACGCCCUAAAACGAUGUCAACUAGUUGUUGGGGGAUUCAUUUCCUUAGUAACGUAGCUAACGCGUGAAGUUGACCGCCUGGGGAGUACGGUCGCAAGAUUAAAACUUAAAUGAAUUGACGGGGUCAUAGCUGUUUCCU